AGUCUAGCCUGCUCACUGAUAACUUGUAUUAAAUAGCCGCGGUAUCUUGACCGUGCAAAGGUAGCAUAAUCAUUAGUUUUUUAAUUGAAAACUCGUAUGAAUGGUUGGACAAAGAAGAAACUGUCUCUUUUAUUAAAGUUGAAUUUAACUUUUAAGUGAAAAGGCUUAAAUUUUCUAGAGGGACGAUAAGACCCUAUAAAGCUUUAUAAACUUAGAAAUUUUAUAUAUUUUUAGAUAACAAUAAUCUUUCAUAUAUUUAUUUGGUUGGGGCGACAAUAGUAUAAUAAAAGUAACUGCUUUUAAGUAUAACAAAUAUAUUUGAGUCAUAAUUAAUUGAUCCUUUUUAAAGAUUUUAAGAUCAAGUUACUUUAGGGAUAACAGCGUUAUUUUUCCUGAGAGUCCUUAUCAAAGGAAAAGUUUGCGACCUCGAUGUUGAAUUAAAAUGUCUACAUAGUGCAGCAGCUAUAAAAGAAGGUCUGUUCGACCUUUAAUAUUUUACAUGAUUUGAGUUCAGACCGGCGGGAGCCAGGUCGGUUUCUAUCUUCUAGAAAGAGAAUGAUCAUUCUAGUACGAAAGGAUUGAGUGAUUAAAAGGGUUUUAUCGAUUGAAAU
rnacentral:rRNA from 1 species